UGGAAGUAAAAGUCGUAACAAGGUCUCCGUUGGUGAACCAGCGGAGGGAUCAUUACAGAGUUGCAAAACUCCCUAAACCAUUGUGAACGUUACCUAUACCGUUGCUUCGGCGGGCGGCCCCGGGGUUUACCCCCCGGGCGCCCCUGGGCCCCACCGCGGGCGCCCGCCGGAGGUCACCAAACUCUUGAUAAUUUAUGGCCUCUCUGAGUCUUCUGUACUGAAUAAGUCAAAACUUUCAACAACGGAUCUCUUGGUUCUGGCAUCGAUGAAGAACGCAGCGAAAUGCGAUAAGUAAUGUGAAUUGCAGAAUUCAGUGAAUCAUCGAAUCUUUGAACGCACAUUGCGCCCGCCAGCAUUCUGGCGGGCAUGCCUGUUCGAGCGUCAUUUCAACCAUCAAGCCCCCGGGCUUGUGUUGGGGACCUGCGGCUGCCGCAGGCCCUGAAAAGCAGUGGCGGGCUCGCUGUCGCACCGAGCGUAGUAGCAUACAUCUCGCUCUGGUCGCGCCGCGGGUUCCGGCCGUUAAACCACCUUUUAACCCAAGGUUGACCUCGGAUCAGGUAGGAAGACCCGCUGAACUUAAGCAUAUCAAUAAGCGGAGG
rnacentral:rRNA from 1 species